AACGUAGGAGACAAACGUUAUCCGGAGUUACUGGGCGUAAAGGGCGUGUAGGUGGUUGCGUAAGUCUGGCGUGAAAUUUUUCGGCUUAACCGGGAAAGGUCGUCGGAUACUGCGGAACUAGAGGACGGUAGAGGCGUGUGGAAUUCCGGGUGUAGUGGUGAAAUGCGUAGAGAUCCGGAGGAACACCAGUGGCGAAGGCGACACGCUGGGCCGUACCUGACACUGAUGCGCGACAGCAUGGGGAGCAAACAGG
rnacentral:rRNA from 1 species